ensembl:lncRNA
CUUGUUCAAGAGCAGGCUUGCAUUGCUGUUUCCUUUAUUGCUUUCCUUCCACUUUAUUUCAGUUAUUUUACAGGGUCUUUUUUGUUGUUGUUGUUUGUGAAUUAUACAAAAGAGUAAAUGAAACCCAAAAUGGAUGUAACAGAAUUAUCUGCAGGUCUAACAAGUCCUAAAACUGAGUUCAUGGGAAGGAAGUCACAUCCCUGAAUUCUACAAUUGAAAGGUUACUUCUCAGUCUUAAUAUUUGGCAACAAAAUGCUUUGAGCCUUACGAUGACCUACUGUGAGUGGAGCUCAUGCAUGGAUGACGACCCUCCUCCAAGAAGCCCACUUGGAACAGUGGCACAAAGUUGUGGAUAGUCUGUCUGUGGCUUGUUCCCAGACUCAGUAAUAAGAAAAACCACAGAUCCUGGCCAAGCUGUUUCCCAGGAUAUGGAGUGGAAUGUGGAAGUCAUGAGAAACAAAACACAAAUUAUGAGAGGACUGAUGUCAGGAAGAACUCAUCUUCUCAUUCGUACAGCUGGUAUAAAGACCGAGUUACAUCAAAGAAAAGCAAGGGAAGACUUCUAUGUGACGCAUGCAACAUGUUCAAAUAAAACAAACAGAAAUCCUUUUGGUGGUUUCUAGUCUCAGCUGUAAACUGGUAGCAAACUGCAUUAACAAGAAAAGAAACGUCCAGUGUUCCAAAUGUAGUAUUUCUACCACUCCAUAUUUCUAGCUACCAAAUGUUGUAUAUUUCGUUUAAUUUAUAUAUUUUAAAGACUGUAAUUCAUAUACCAUAUGAAAGCAUGAAUUUCAAGGUUUAAGCUGUCAUAGUCACCAGAAUUUUGAAUUACAUGAAUUUUUGAAGUUAUUUGAGUAUAUCCUCAACAGGUUUUUUGAUGACGUAAAGCAGAGUGGUGCAGUUGAUAUAAUAAAAGGAAGGAAUGCCAUCCAGAGGGACCUAGACAGACUUGGAAAGUGGGCCCAUGUGAACCUUAUGAGAUGCAACAAAGCCAUGUGCAAGAUGUUGUGCUUGGGUCUAGGCAAUCCCAGACAUGUUUGCAGUCUGUGAGAAGAACUCAUUGAGAGCAGCCCUAUGGAGAAGGACUUGAGAGUUCUGAUGGAUGAAAAGUUGAAUGUGAACCAACAGUGUGUUCUCACAGGCCUGAAGGCCAACAGUUUCCUGGGCUGCAUCAAAAGAACUGUGACCAGCAGGGAGAGGUAGGUGAUUGUCUCCUCUGCUCUGCCCUCAUCAUGCCCCAUCUGGAGUACUGUGUCCAAGUCCGGGGCCCUCAGCACAGGAAAGAUGUUGAGCUUUUGGAGAGGGUCCAGAGGAGGCCAUGAGACAACUCUCCUCUGAAGAAAGGCAGAGGGAGAUGGACUUGUUAACUUAGAGAGCAGAAGGCUAUGGGGAGACUUCAUUGUGACCUUCCAGUACUUGAAGGGAGUUUGUAAGCAGGAGGGAGACUGUCUUUUUAUGUGAUCUGAUAUUGAUAGAACAAAGGGGAAUGGUUUUAAUCUAAAAAAUUAAAGGAGAUAUGUGUGUUGCUAUGUAUUGCUGGUUUCUCUAAACACUGGCAAAGUACAAUAAAAUAUAUAUAAAAGAAAAUGUAUUCAAUAUCUAUGUUAACUCAGAGUUCAUUCAGGCACAAAAUUAGCAUGUAAUUUACUUAUUAGAAAAGUGAUCAGUAAAAUCCAGAUGCAAGGAACUGUUCAAAGGGUUUGUUGCCAAAAAUAUGAGGAUAUUUUGCCAUGGUUUUGAUUAGUAAAUACAUGGAAAACUGUGAUACUCAUCUUCAAAAACAUUUUUAGUUCAUUAUUUUUGUUAUGUCUGUCCUCUGAUCAGAUCUAGAUUCCAAACUUUACUGUUGUUCAUCUUUGAAUGUAAAGGGGAUGCAGGAACAUCUCUUUACUAUCAAAGCACUGUGCUUGUGCUAACACUUGGGGGCUUUCUUCCUGUCAUGUAGGCAAAAUGUUAAUUUAGGGGUAGUGCUACAUGCCAUCAAAGACAGUGGUUAUUAGGUGGUUGCAUCAGAUCUAUGACGCUCAACUGAAAGUCUGUUUUUUUUCUGCGUGGACUUCAACAAGACCCCCCCAACUGAGAUGAACUCUUGAAUAGCAAGGAAAAAUAGUCUUUUAUAUAGAAGCAAGCAGGUGAGUUACUUCAGGUGUCACUUUUAACAUCAAUAACUUUUUUUACAUUUGCCCCUGUAUUAUGAAAAAUGAGAUACCACAGUGUCUUUUAAUAUUUACUUGUAACACUUGCUGCUUUAGUGGUUUUCUAAACCACUUCAGGUUUUGUAUAAGUUACCAGCGAAAAUGGGGCUAAAAUGGACAGUGGAAUUUAGCAGCGCAGAACCAUGUAGCCAUAAGGACUUCCGGAGCACUCCGUUGUUCUUGUUCAUCUCUUCUAAAUUUCUACAAGCUUGUGCUGUAUGUUACUUUCAAAGUUAAAGGCAAGGAGCAUUAAUACUAAUGCUGAAGAUCACAGUUUCAAAUUGAAUAUGGCAAGUUGUUAAAUUUGCCCUGUUUUCAUAGCGGCGUGUCAAAAUGGUUUUUGAAUGUUCACACGGGAAAGAAGAAAUGCUCUGAUGCUUAUGAAUUCUUGUCUUUUGCUCUAUUUCCUGUACCUUUUUGGCAUUCAUCCUACUUGCCACAGAUCUCAUCUACCUGGAUUGUUGACUGUCUCGCUCUGAAUAGAGUGCAGAUGUGGGGGACAAGAUGGAGGAAAAAAAUGAGUCAGGAUUUGGAAUGGUUUAUUAUUUGAUUUUCUGUUUCAGUUCUAAUUCUUAUUCCUCUGUAGCUAGCGUAUUUAUUUCACCUUUUUCGUGCUCUAAAAUGCUUUUCCUUUUCUAUCUCCUUUUUUUGUGUAAUGACCUUGCUUUCCUUCUUGUUUCUGAUGCCCUUUAUGAACUCUCUGUCUCCAGCUUCCCAAUAGCUCUACUGAAAAACAGCAGAAGGCUCAGGCACUUUUUUCACUAAUGUAGAAAAACAAUUUUUGACUUUCAUAAACUAAGCCAUUCUAGAUCUGUAUGAAAGACAAUUUGGAAAUAAUUCAGACAUUCAAUGUAGUUUGGAAUCCUGUAUUUGAACCUCUUUUGGGUUGAGGUUUUUUUAUUUUUUUUUGUGGAUUUUUUUUUGUGUGUGUUUUGUUUGUUUGUUCUGUUUUUCAGGAUAUAAUAGCAUUAAGAUAGAGUUAAUUCACAGGAAAUAUCAAUUUGUUUGAGAAAGUCUUACUGUAGAGAUUCAGAGGGUUGCUAUUUUGAUUCAUUCUUUCUCUUCAGAAAGCUCCAGAGAAAAUGAAGUUUAAAAUUAAACGUCUAGUGGGGAAAUUGGUGCCAAAACAAGGCUUUGAAAUUAAUACUGUAGUUAACAAGUCACGAUUUUUAUGAUUUGCAAGUGAAAUUGCUCUUUUUAAUUAAAAAAAAAUAUGGAAGAGUGUUUACUUUCCAAACAUGAAAUAGUGUUGGAAGCUGUUCUUAAUUCUCUGGAUCUUCUGUGCUUUUAUCAAUGCUGCUACAAUGUCAGGUAAGCAAACACUGCAAAGAGCCCAAUUUCAGUGUUCCCACCUAAGCUUCUGGGACCAUUCCAAGGGCUUCAGUUGGCAUGGAUCAGCCUUUAUCUGCUAGAAGACUUGAGACAUUUAUUCAUCAAUAAUGUGAGGUAAGAUGCCCUAAUUCUCCCUUCGCCUCUUUCUACUCUUCUGACAGGUGACCGCGAUCUUUAAUUGUUUCCUUUUCUUCCUCUUUUGUUAAAAUCUAGCUUCAGAGUGCUGUUGUUUAAAAAAAAAAAAAAAAAAAAAAAAAAAAAAAAAAAAGCAAUUGAGAUCUUAGAAGCUAAAGAAAGCAGCCAUUGUAGUGCUUCUUGGAACAUUUUCAAGGAUGUAGAAGAUGGAAGGUGUUAAGCUAAUGAGAUGUACACUUUAUAUGUGUGUGUUACAGAAUAAUCUGUAAUUUUGUUUUAACAAAAGUCAUGAUGGUAGGAUGUAUCAGGGUUUGAGGAGUAUACUCAUAACAGAUCAAGUUCCUUUGUGUGCUAAACUGGCACUUGUGAGGUUUUAUUUUAUAGGUUUUUUUUUUUUUUAAGUUUAUGUGGAUACUUUUCCUGUCAUAAAAAUAGAGGAGAGACAACAGGGAAAUCUAAAGUAUGUGCACAUUUUUAAUCACUUUUCAUUCUUUAGCUGCAGUGAGUUGGUUGAUAAACAGUAUUGUUAAAACCCACUAAAGAAUGCAGUUAGCAAUAAAGAAAUAUGUGACAAUAUACUACUGUGUAUAAAAACAAACUUUAAUGGAUUAUAAUGAAAUCCUAUCUUCUUUCGUAAUGUUAUUCAUUUUAGGAGAUGCUAGCUCUGUAAAAAAUGCCCACAAAUCUUGUAUUGCUUAUUUUAUUUAUGGUUAAAGAUCACCUCUACAAUUUGCCAUCCCUGUAAUAGUACUUUAACGUCUUGGUGGGUAAGGUAAUUUUGUAUUAGUGAAUUGAAACGUAUUUAAGCAGUUUCUCUUGAGGUAUGGCUAAGAAAAUUCUUAAAAUUUGUGUAGUUCACCAAGUGCCUUUGCUUAGCAAAUACAGUGGCACAAUGUAGGAACUUGCAGGUGUCUUCUGAGCUUUUAAGGCCAGAGAUGUGUGAAGUACCUACUAGGCAAUGGAAAAACAAUAUUCAACAUCAUCUGGCCACCUACAGAGGUGGGCAUUGCUCUAACUUUCACUCUUUAACAGUUUUGAGUAGUAAAAGAACAGAUUUCAUCCACAUUGACCAGAGAUCAAACCUAACUGCUUGUAUGAGCCUAGAUAAUACCCAUGUCUUCACAUGGGAGCAGCAGCCCAGAGUGCACCUGCUGAAAGGCAGAACAGUGCUGGAUUCUACAUUCUGAAUAGAGGAAGGUUGUUGGUGUCUGUUAUACACCCAUCUUGAAGUUUGCAUGGAGUGCUUUCCCUUUGCUGCAAAAUCCCAAGCAGUGCCGGAAGGUGCAAUGGGGCACAGUCCUACCCAGAACAUUCACGUACAGGAUCUGCCAGGACCAUGACUGUGAUCAGGCUGAGCCUCUGUGCAA